GCGCAGCGGAAUUUGAAGAAUUUUUACAGGAAAUUUCUGUAAUGGACAACGAAAGCUUUUCCUUGGGCUGGAGGAUACCAUCAAAGUAAAGUCAUGCUAAUGAAGAUAUGUUAAAGAUUUGCUAAUGAAGGUAGGGAAAUCCUGUUAACUAGAUUGUAAGGCAGGUUUGGGUUCUAAGUAUCCAGGCUGAGUAUGGGAGCCAGUGGGUUCUGUUCUCACUACUAUAUCCCCAUUUUACAUUUAGGAGACCUUGGGUUCAGACCCCUCUGAAUUUGUAACGUGUUCGAAGUUACUUGUAACUUUGAAGUAACUUGUUCAAAGUCACAAAUCUAGUCAGAUGAAAUAGUACAGUGGUUAAGAGCAUGGGUUCUGGAAUUAAACUGUUUGGGAUCUUAUGCAAGUUUAGAAAGUUACUUAAUUACUCUGUGCCUCAGUCUUAUCAUCCAUAAAAUGGGGGUUCUAAUGGUAGCUAGCACAUAGAAUUGUGAUGAGAAUUAAAUGCAUUAACACCUGAAAAGCGUUUAGCACAGGCUCUGACAUUGUGCUCCAAAAAUGACAGCUAGCAGUAGUAAUAGUUGCACAAUAGUAAAAGUGGUAGUAGUAAUAAUAAUAAGUGUAGACCAGGGUUUGAACCAGUUUUGUUGGACUCCAGUGCAGAAUUGGCUACAGAAUUUGCCCAGUGCAAAAUUAAAAUGCAGGACCUUGUGUCCAAAAGUUAUCAAGAAUUUCAAGGGAGCAACAGUAGUGCAUUAAAUUAAACAUAGGAUCCUUCUAAACAUCCAGCCCUGUACGCAUGCACAAGUCACAUGCCCAUGAAACUGGCUCUGCUCCAGGGCACUUUCAAGGAAAAUCUAUUAUCCUCUUAACUAGUGUUAAAUAAAAUCUAUGGGAGCCCACUAAUUUGGACUGAGCUGCUGCAUUAGGCCCCAACAUAUGAACCCAAGAUGGAGUCACCUGUGCUAAGAUUCCAUGUCACCAAACUGAAACCUAACCUGUUUACUUGUAAGAUCUGACCUUCCUUGGGCGUGAUGGCUCACACCUAUAAUCCCAGCACUUUGGGAGGCCAAGGCAGGUGGAUUGCCUCAGCUCAAGAGUUUCAUGCGCGUCCGUGUAAAGAGACCACCAAACAGGCUUUGUAUGAGCAACAUGGCUGUUUAUUUCACCUGGGUGCAGGCGGGCUGAGUCCGAAAAGAGAGUCAGCGAAGGGAGAUAGGGUGGGGCCGUUUUAUAAGAUUUGGGCAGGUAAAGGAAAAUUACAGCCAAAGGGGGUUUGUUCUUUGGCGGGCAGGAGUGGGGGUCACAAGGUACUCAGUGGGGGAGCUUUUGAGCCAGGAUGAACCAGGAGAAGGAAUUUCACAAGACAAUGUCAUCAGUUAAGGCAGGAACAGGCCAUUUUCACUUCUUUUGUGGUGGAAUGUCAUCAGUUAAGGCAGGAACUGGCCAUCUGGAUGUGUACUUGCAGGUCACGGGGAUAUGAUGGCUUAGCUUGGGCUCAGAGGCCUGACAUUCCUGUCUUCUUAUAUUAAUAAGAAAAAUAAAAUGAAACAGUGGUAAAGUGUUGGGACGGUGAAAAUUUUUUUGGGGUGGUAUGGAGAGAUAAUGGGCGAUGUUUCUCACGGCUGCUUCGAGCGGGAUUAGGGGCGGCGUGGGAACCUAGAGUGGGAGAGAUUAAGCUGAAGGAAGAUUUUGUGGUAAGGGGUGAUAUCGUGGGGUUGUUAGAAGAAACAUUUGUCAUUUAGAAUUAUUGGUGAUGGCCUGGAUACAGUUUUGUGUGAAUUGAAAAACUAAACGGAAUAAGAGAAGGAGAAAAACAGGUAUUAAAGGACUAAGAAUUGGGAGGACCUAGGACAUCUAAUUAGGAAGUGCCUAAGGAGGUUCAGCAUAAUCCUGUCAGCUAAGAUUAUUUAUUUACUUCAAGAGUUAAGAGUGGCAGUUUGGGGAUAGCACCAGGAAAUAUCAGCUGUGAUGGCUUGGAGAAACAGUGUAAACCGGCAGUGUAAACAAGAGCAGGGCAUGUAUGAGUAGUUGAGAAGGGUGAAUAGGAGUAUGACUACAGAGAAGAUAGGAGGGAUGACAAGUUUUUUUGGGGCACAGUCUAAGUUAGUCUGGUGUCUGGAAUGAGACUGGGGCCUACUAAAAAAGAGCAUCUAUACAAGAGCUCAAAUGGGCUGUACCCUGUAGCAUUCCAAGGACAGGUCUGACUUCUGAGAAGGGAAAGUGGUAAAAGUAUUCUCCAGUCCUUUUUAAGUUGGUGGCUGAGCUUUGUGAGGUGUGUUUUUAAAAGACCUUUAGUCCGUUCUACUUUUCCUGAAGAUGGAGGACCGUAAGGGAUAUAAAGGUUUCACUGAAUACUAAGAGCCUGAAAAACUGCUUGGCUGAUUUGACUAAUAAAGGCUGGUCUGUUAUCAGACUGUAUAGAGGUGGGAAGGCUAAACUGAGGAAUUAUGUCUGACAGAAGGGAAGAAAUGACCGUGGUGGCCAUCUCAGACCCUGUAGGAAAGGCCUCUACCUAUCCAGUGAAAGUGUUUACCUAGACUAAGAGGUAUUUUAGUUAUCUGACUCGGGGCAUGUUGAGUAAAGCUAAUUUGCCAGUCCUGGGUGGGGGCAAAUCCUCGAGCUUGAUGUGUAGGGAAGGGAGGGGGCCUGAAUAAUCCCUGAGGAGUAGUAGAAUAGCAGAUGGAACACUGAGAAGUUAUUUCCUUGAGGAUAGAUUUCCACGAUGGAAAGAAAAUGAGAAGUUCUAAGAGGUGAGCUAGUGGCUUGUACUAUAGCAUAGCCUGCCUUUGCUGGUGUGUGGCUAUUAGGCCUGGUGGAACUGCCAUCAAUAGAUAAGCAUGAUCAGGGUGAGGAACAGGAAAGAAGGAAAUAUGGGGAAAUGGGGUGAAUGUCAGGUGGAUCAGAGAGGUACAGUCAUGAGGCUCAGGUGUGGUAUCCAGAAUAAUGUGGGAGGCCGGAUUGAAGUCCGGGCCAGGAACAAUGGUAAUUGUGGGACUUAAAGAGUGAGUACAGCUGAAGGAGCCAGGGAGCAGAAAGUAUAUGCAUCAGGUAUGAGGAAGAAAAUAGAUUUUGGAAGUUAUGAGAAAUGUAGAGAGUAAGUUGAGCAUAGUUUGUGAUUUUGAGGGCCUCUAAAAGUAUUAGGGCCUUUAAAAGUAUUAGGGCGGCAGCAGCCACUGCACGCAGACAUGAGGGCUAGGCUAAAACAGUAAGGUCAAGUUGUUUGCACAGAAAGGCUACAGAGUGAGGUCCUGGCUCUUGUGUAAGAAUUCUGACCACACUAACCAUGCCUAGGAGGAAAGGAUUUGUUGUUUUGUAAGGGAUUGAGGUUUGAGAGAUUAAUCGGACACGAUCAGCAGGGAGAGCACGUGUGUUUUUAUGAGAAUUAUGCUGAGAUAGGUAACAGAUAAGGAAGAAAUUUGGGCUUGACUGAAGUAAUGGGGGCUGUCUGUGAAGCUCUGUGGCAGUACGGCCCAGGUAAUUUGCUGAGCCUGAUGGGUGUCAGGGUCAGUCCAAGUGAAAGUGAAGAGAGGCUGGGAUGACAGGUGCAAAGGAAUAGUAAAGAAAGCAUGUUUGAGAUCCAGAACAGAAUAAUGGAUUGUGGAGGAAGGUAUUGAGGAUAGGAGAGUAUAUGGGUUUGGCAUCAUGGGGUGGAUAGGCAAAACAAUUUGGUUGAUAAGGCAUAGAUCCUGAACUAACUUGUAAGGCUAGUCUGGUUUUAGGACAGGUAAAAUGGGGGAAUUGUAAGGAAAGUUUAUAGGCUUUAAAAGGCCAUGCUGUAGCAGGCAAGUGAUAGCAGGCUUUAAACCUUUCAAAGCAUGCUGCGGGAUGGGAUAUUGGCAUUGAUCAGGGUAAGGGUGAUUAGGUUUUAAUGAGAUAGUAAGGGGUGCAUGAUCGGUCGCCAAGGAGGGAGUAGAGGUAUCUUAUACUUGUGGGUUAAGGUGGGGGAAUACAAGAGGAAGACACAAAGGAGGCUUUGGAUUGGGAAGAAGGGUGGCAAUGAGAUGCAGCUGUAAUCCAGGAAUAGUCAGGGAAGCAGAUAAUUUAGUUAAAGUGUCUCGGCCUAAUAAGGGAACUGGGCAGGUGGGGAUAACUAAAAAGGAGUGCUUAAAAGAGUAUUCUCUAAGUUGGCACCACAGUUGGGGAGUUUUAAGAGGUUUAGAAGCCUGACUGUCAAUACCCACAACAGUUAUGGAGGCAAGGGAAACAGGCCCUUGAAAAUAAGGUAAUGUGGAGUGGGUAGCCUCCGUAUUGAUUAAGAAGGGGACGGGCUCACCUUCCACUGUGAGAGUUACCCGAAGCUCGGCGUCCAUGAUGGUCUAGGGGGCUUCCGAGGCGAUCGGGCAGUGUCAGUCUUCAGCCGCUAAGCCGAGAAGGAGUCAGUCAGAGAGCCUUGGGCCAGAGUUCCAGGGACCCUGGGAGUGGCUGCCAGAGGAACUGAAGCCCAGAGAGGAGAAGCAACUUGCCCUACAUCACACAGCUUCUAAGUAGAGGAACCAGGAUUCAAACCGGACCUUCUGGCCCUUGACCGUGAGUUCUUCACCACUCUGCCCAGACUCUACUGUCUCUCACCAAACCCCAGGACAAG
rnacentral:lncRNA from 1 species